UCUCUCUGCAGCACCAGCAGUCAUCACCAGCGUGUCCUGACAGCUUGGCAAAAAUUGCCAAAUGAAAAUGUCUUCUACAACAGUUUUCAGUUUUGCCACCAAAAUUUGACAGAGCCAAGAGCCCGAAGCUGCUUCUGCCACCCUGUCUGUGCUUGGUGACCUGGAAGGGAUCUAGUCAAAUCUCUCUUUAACAGUUCCCCAGCUAUGCUUUCUCUCAUACCAUGCUGCUCCAGAAGGAAAGGGCAGCUCUGAAGGACAUUAGUCCUGAGGAAGUACAGUAGACUACCUCAGCCUGCUUGAGCUUUCCAACCUCAGGCUCUGCUGCUUUUAAUAUAGGCAGAGGGCUGGCAGGUGGGACAUGUGAGAGCAGAAGAGGUGGGUCCAUGGGAAGAGGACAGCCCUCAGCUCCAGUGUUCAGGCACCAGAUGGCAUUUCGUUGGGAACCUGAAGGAUUUCUGCUCUAGGGCUUGUUUUCAGGCUGAGGACAUGUGAGGAAGAAAGAGUCUGAAGAGGCAGAUGGAAUGGAAGAAAAGUCAAAGAGGCUGUAGACAAGUGGACAUGCUGCUUAAAAGAUUGACUGUUGCGUGCUGUGUAGAAAAACUGAAUGAAAGAUGGCACUUCUGUGCACCAGAAUCACAUACCUCCC